rnacentral:lncRNA from 1 species
CUUUUGGCACAAUUUAUGUUUAGCAGAACUAUUUUGGGCCCAAUUGUACGUAGGCCAAGUGAAUAAAUUGUAAUCCUUUAUAUUACAUACAAAUUAUUUUUGGGUGAAGCCCAUUUCAAUAGGUAGUGCAUUUUAUUGUCCUAUUACACAGAUACAAAUAAAAAUAGAUAAACAAGCAUAUAGUUCGUAUUGGUCAUUAUCAAAUACCAUCUCCUCAAACCAAAUGCUACCAUAUAUUGUUCAUCACAAAUUACAACU